GUAAGGAUCUAACAGUAAGGACCAUUAGUUACUAACCGCUCAGUGAACGCUUUAUUUUCUGAACGCAACCAUUAUUGGACAGAAUAUAAGGAUCUAACAGUAAAGACCGAUAGUCACUAGUCGUUCAAUGAGCGCUUUGUUCUCUGAAUGCAAUCGAAGCAACGCUUGAUGAAACUGCUUUUGCUGCUGAAUGCCAUUUCUGCUGAUGGCCAUUUCUCUAAUGUUACUUGCACGCGUUGUACGCGUAUUGGUGUCUGAUUGUUCUAGAAACACAUUAUUGUUACAAAAUUAAUUAUACAAGUUGUAUAAUUAACAAGCAACGAGGAUGGCAAAGUUUUGUCUGAACAAGCAAGGUAAACGUACAUCAGCGCGGAAGGAAUAUAAGAUCGAGAAGAAAGUUCAUGAGCACAAUUGUAACAUGAAAAAAGAAGCCAAGAGACAUAAAAAUUGGUCUUGAAAGACUAGUUAGUCAGGCUGAGAGUAAACAACUGCCAUACAACCACAUAGUUGUAAAUUCUAUCCAAGAUAAAAUUAAAGAAACUGUAUCCAAGGAAGAAAAUUUACUGAAAGCCUAUUACAAGGAAUUCAGAAAAGUUUUGGAUGCUGCUGAUGUUAUUGAGGUUAUGGAUGCACGUGAUCUAUUAGGAACACGCUGUGGAAGAAGCAGUCAGAUCUGCAAAAGGAAACAAAAGAUUGAUAUUAGUUUUGAAUAAAGCAGAUCUAGUACUUAGAGAAAAUCUAGAUCAAUGCCUAAAGUAUUUGAGAGUGAGUUUGCCAACCGUAGUGUUUAAAUCAUCCACACAAAGUCAAGCGAAAUGGUUGGGUCGGAGAAUGCUAGGUUGAAGAACAGAAUCCAUGAUAUAAAGCAAUAUCUGUUUUGACGCAUUGUUUUUACUUGGAAAUUACUGCAGAAACAGUGGCAAUGUAAAGACAAGUAUCAGAGUAGGAAUUGUUGGACUUCCGAACAUAGGCAAAUCUAGUGUUAUUAAUUCCUUAAAACGCAGUAAAGCUUGCAAUGUCGGAAACAUGCUAGGAAUAACAAAAACAAUGCAAGCAGUUCAAUUAGAUUCAAAAAUAAAACUGCUGGACUCUCCUGGUAUAGUAUUUACUAAUUCGGACGAAAAUUGCGACAACACAUUUGUGGCUUUAAAAAAUACUGUGAAAAUCUAAGCAUUGAAAGAUCCUUUUACUCCAGCAACCACUAUUCUAAAAAGAAUUUUGCGAGAACAAAUAAUAGAAUUGUAUAAUAUUUAAGAUUUCUGGACAUCUGAUGACUUUUUCUCAGUAAAGGCUGCAAAAAUGGGGAAAUGAAUACAGACUCAGAUGAAAUGAAUACUCCAGCAUUAAAUGGAAAUGAAAAUGGAGGGAACACAGAACAAUCACAAACAAGAAUCAUCCAAUGUAAGUUUUAUACUCCGGGGGACAUCCGAAAAAGCAACAGCCAUCUUCUAUAGCAGAAGCAAUGAUAUUAGAUACAGAAGCAGCUGUUAUAGCGAAUUUUGAAUUUUUGGGACAUGGACAUGGAAGAGAAAGAAGGAGAUGGAGAGGAUGAAAUUUAUGAUACAAAUACAGAUACCAAAUCAACGUGAAGUCAUCGCCUUCUUUAUUAUUUGGGUGUCUUGGAUCUUGUUGUAAUUCUCUAUGUCAGACCUCGGUAAAGUUUACAACUUUCGGCCGAUUUUCGGAAGAUACGCCUUCUAUCUCCCCUUACCGCGCGGCGGAUCCAGCAACUGACGGUCGCGGCUCGCGACCUCAAGACCGUUGAGAUCAUAAAGCGCAUCUAUGUGAUGCUGACGAAAGAUGCGUUCGGGGAGCACAUCGAUCAGCGCUAACGCGUCAUUCAAUCCUUGUACAUGUAAUGAGCGAUAAAGA